AAAGCUAUAACUUCUGAUCUAGGAAUACAAUUAUGGCCAUGUAUAGCUAUCUUAAGCUCUAAAGCAUUUAACAGAUUUUCGUCUGUGAGUGAUAAACUCAAAUUUGGAGAACAGUUAAAAUAAACUGGACAGGCUAGUUUUUACUACUGCAAAUAAGUAUGGUGAACCUUUUACAAAUUUACUUUUCCAACCUUCUGAGUUGGAUCCUGGGAGUUGCAUUACUCUAGAUAAGAAGGUAUCCUUAUACCAUAUAAAAUGCGGUUGGGCAUUUUAGAUUCAUAAUGAAGUUAAUAAUCUGAAUGAUUCAUAAUUCAUAGGUCAAAAAUAAGUUUGACCACUUUGGGUUAUCCUUCAUGCGAAGGGAACAUAUUAG
rnacentral:lncRNA from 1 species